rnacentral:rRNA from 1 species
GAUGAACGCUGGCGGCGUGCCUAAUACAUGCAAGUCGAGCGAACAGACGAGGAGCUUGCUCCUCUGACGUUAGCGGCGGACGGGUGAGUAACACGUGGAUAACCUACCUAUAAGACUGGGAUAACUUCGGGAAACCGGAGCUAAUACCGGAUAAUAUAUUGAACCGCAUGGUUCAAUAGUGAAAGACGGUUUUGCUGUCACUUAUAGAUGGAUCCGCGCCGCAUUAGCUAGUUGGUAAGGUAACGGCUUACCAAGGCAACGAUGCGUAGCCGACCUGAGAGAGGGAUCGGCCACACUGGAACUGAGACACGGGCCAGACUCCUACGGGAGGCAGCAGUAGGGAAUCUUCCGCAAUGGGCGAAAGCCUGACGGAGCAACGCCGCAUGAGUGAUGAAGGUCUUCGGAUCGUAAAGCUCUGUUAUUAGGGAAGAACAAAUGUGUAAGUAACUAUGCACGUCUUGACGGUACCUAAUCAGAAAGCCACGGCUAACUACGUG